GCAGCCGCCACGGGAAUACAGAGGGUGCGAGCGUUAAUCGGAUUUACUGGGCGUAAAGCGUGCGUAGGCGGCUUCUUAAGUCGGAUGUGAAAUCCCUGAGCUUAACUUAGGAAUUGCAUUCGAUACUGGGAAGCUAGAGUAUGGGAGAGGAUGGUAGAAUUCCAGGUGUAGCGGUGAAAUGCGUAGAGAUCUGGAGGAAUACCGAUGGCGAAGGCAGCCAUCUGGCCUAAUACUGACGCUGAGGUACGAAAGCAUGGGGAGCAAACAGGAUUAGAUACCCCCGUAGUCCCUGUCUCUUAUAC
rnacentral:rRNA from 1 species